AAAGCCGCGAGGCAGAGCAAAACCCUAAAAAAUGGUCUCAGUUCGGAUCGUAGGCUGCAACCCGCCUGCGUGAAGUUGGAAUUGCUAGUAAUCGCGGAUCAGCAUGCCGCGGUGAAUACGUUCCCGGGCCUUGUACACACCGCCCGUCACACCAUGGGAGCCGGUAAUGCCCGAAGUCAGUAGCCUAACCGCAAGGAGGGCGCUGCCGAAGGUAGGAUUGGCGACUGGGGUGAAGUCGUAACAAGGUAGC
rnacentral:rRNA from 1 species